ACUGCCUAACGGGCAUCAGCUCUGUGGCUUUGCCUGUGCCCUGGGCCAGGACCUGGAACUGUUAAAAAGAAGCAAGCAGCAAAUGCAGACUAUGGUCAGCUUUGGGGGUGCUUACAUUUGGGGCAUGGAUGUAGGGAGAAUUGUCCAGGUGACUGGACCUCAUCGGGCCGGGCUGUACAUACCGCCCCAGACUCUCGAAAGCUCUUGCUUAUCCCACUAUGCAGAUUUCUCAGCUUUGCGUGACAGCAUAAAGUGGACCUUGAACGCAGUGGUUUGCGAACUACAGGAAACCUGCGGCCCCACACCUGGCGCAGCAGCAGGCAGGGCUGGUAUUGGACAACCAGUUGGGGAGCGAGGCAACCUGUUUUGUUUUGCUGCCUCUUUGGACCGAGGGAGGCUGGAGAAGGGCAGCUACACAGAAGCAAGGGUGACUUCAGGUGGAAGAGGAGGAGGAAAUACCUUACAGCUGAAAAAGAGCAUCAGGGCCCCUCCUUUUAUAUCGCGGCUCCCAUAUAAAGCAUAGAAAACCUGGUUGCUGCAGACAAAACAGACUUCAGGUUGAUCCAGACCUAAGUUUUUUGGCCUCAAUAUUUUUUUUUAAUAAGCAAAUAUUUACACAAAUUUUAGAAACAACCAUUUCUACAAAUGUCACAUCUGUCCUUGGACAUAAUACUCAUAAUUUGCUUUCAGAACAAACUCAAAGUAAGAGUUGGACUUGAGGCUUCCCAGCUGCUCUGCUCGCAGUAGGUCCGUCACCUCUGGCAAGUACUCGCUGAGCUGGAUGCCUGCAAACAGAAGACACGGUCACUUCUGACGGCUGAAACUCCUCCGCACAUGAGCAGUACAGCAGCCAGUACUGCUAAGUCACUGAGCGAACAUGCCCACACUGCAGCCUCCUCCCAUUCAGAGCCCUCAGGGGAAUGGCAGCCUCUUCAGAGCCUCAGAGCCCUGCAGGUUCCUAUUGGUCAGAGCAGAUGCUCCAGAGGAAAUCUUCAGUAGAAUCUGAAAUUUUUUUUUCCCUACAGUUUAAGACAUUUCUUCAAUGUGUAAGUUUUCAACUAAUAGUCAUUUCUAUGUUGCCCUAAUGGGGGAAUAAUUUAAUAGAAACACUGUCACAAAGCUGGCCACAGGACUGCAAGGGUGUUAAAACUUAACCAGGGUGCCUGUCCUUCCAGCACUCGGGAUGCUGAAGGAGAAGGGUGCCUUGAACCUGACAGCCAGCCAAGAGCAGCCUGGGCAGCACAGGAAGCCUUUGUCCCAAAGAAAUGAACACACGGGCUGGAGAGAUGGCUCAGUGGUUAAGAGCACUGACUGCUCUUCCAAAGGUCCUGAGUUCAAAUCCCAGCAACCACUUGGUGGCUCACAACCAUCUGUAAUGAGAUCUGAUGCCCUCUUCUGGGGUGUCUGAAGACAGCUACAGUGUACUUAUAUACAAUAAAUAAAUUAAAAAAAAAAAGAAUUUUUUAAAAAAAGAAAAGAAAUGAACACACACACACACACACACACACACACACACACACACACACACUGAGGUCAGGCACCAGGACAUAGGGAUCAGUAGACAGGAAACAGCCACCAGGGGACGAUUGAGUCACACGAUCACAACACUGACAAAGACAAUGGACAAGGCUUGAAAUGAGCAGCGCCACAUCACUUGUUACAUUGCUAUCAGGCUCUCUUUACUGUUGGUUUGGUUCUUUGAGGCAGGGUUUCUCUGUGUAGACCUGGCUGUCCUGGACCUGCUUUGUAGACCAUGCUGGACUUGUGCUCACAGACUGCAUCUACCUCCGGAGUGCUGCGAUUGAAGGCGUGUACCACCAUGCCAGGUGACUAUGGUUUUAAAGAAGAUCCUCGAGAGGAGGCACUUGUCAAGUAAAAGUCUUCUUAAUCUAUCU
rnacentral:lncRNA from 1 species